AACGAACGCUGGCGGCGUGCUUAACACAUGCAAGUCGAACGAGAAUUUUCCUUUCGGGGGAAAUAGUAAAGUGGCGCAAGGGUGAGUAACACGUGAAUAAUCUGCCUACGAAUUCGGGGAUAACUCGGCGAAAGCUGUGCUAAUACCGGAUAAGACCACGUCUCUUAUGUGACGUGGCCCAAAGGAGUCUCAAAACUCCGUUUGUAGAUGAGUUCACGGACCAUUAGCUUGUUGGCGGGAUAACAGCCCACCAAGGCGACGAUGGUUAGCCGGCCUGAGAGGGUGAUCGGCCACACUGGAACUGAGACACGGUCCAGACUCCUACGGGAGGCAGCAGUGGGGGAAUAUUGCGCAAUGGGCGAAAGCCUGACGCAGCAACGCCGCGUGAGGGGUG
rnacentral:rRNA from 1 species